GAUAACAGGCUGAUCUCCCCCAAGAGUCCACAUCGACGGGGAGGUUUGGCACCUCGAUGUCGGCUCGUCGCAUCCUGGGGCUGAAGUAGGUCCCAAGGGUUGGGCUGUUCGCCCAUUAAAGCGGCACGCGAGCUGGGUUCAGAACGUCGUGAGACAGUUC
rfam:Clostridium intestinale TRNW genomic scaffold scaffold1, whole genome shotgun sequence.